rnacentral:rRNA from 1 species
AUAAUGGGUCAGCGACUUAUAUUCUGUAGCAAGGUUAACCGAAUAGGGGAGCCGAAGGGAAACCGAGUCUUAACUGGGCGUUAAGUUGCAGGGUAUAGACCCGAAACCCGGUGAUCUAGCCAUGGGCAGGUUGAAGGUUGGGUAACACUAACUGGAGGACCGAACCGACUAAUGUUGAAAAAUUAGCGGAUGACUUGUGGCUGGGGGUGAAAGGCCAAUCAAACCGGGAGAUAGCUGGUUCUCCCCGAAAGCUAUUUAGGUAGCGCCUCGUGAAUUCAUCUCCGGGGGUAGAGCACUGUUUCGGCAAGGGGGUCAUCCCGACUUACCAACCCGAUGCAAACUGCGAAUACCGGAGAAUGUUAUCACGGGAGACACACGGCGGGUGCUAACGUCCGUCGUGAAGAGGGAAACAACCCAGACCGCCAGCUAAGGUCCCAAAGUCAUGGUUAAGUGGGAAACGAUGUGGGAAGGCCCAGACAGCCAGGAUGUUGGCUUAGAAGCAGCCAUCAUUUAAAGAAAGCGUAAUAGCUCACUGGUCGAGUCGGCCUGCGCGGAAGAUGUAACGGGGCUAAACCAUGCACCGAAGCUGCGGCAGCGACGCUGAUGCGUUGUUGGGUAGGGGAGCGUUCUGUAAGCCUGCGAAGGUGUGCUGUGAGGCAUGCUGGAGGUAUCAGAAGUGCGAAUGCUGACAUAAGUAACGAUAAAGCGGGUGAAAAGCCCGCUCGCCGGAAGACCAAGGGUUCCUGUCCAACGUUAAUCGGGGCAGGGUGAGUCGACCCCUAAGGCGAGGCCGAAAGGCGUAGUCGAUGGGAAACAGGUUAAUAUUCCUGUACUUGGUGUUACUGCGAAGGGGGGACGGAGAAGGCUAUGUUGGCCGGGCGACGGUUGUCCCGGUUUAAGCGUGUAGGCUGGUUUUCCAGGCAAAUCCGGAAAAUCAAGGCUGAGGCGUGAUGACGAGGCACUACGGUGCUGAAGCAACAAAUGCCCUGCUUCCAGGAAAAGCCUCUAAGCAUCAGGUAACAUCAAAUCGUACCCCAAACCGACACAGGUGGUCAGGUAGAGAAUACCAAGGCGCUUGAGAGAACUCGGGUGAAGGAACUAGGCAAAAUGGUGCCGUAACUUCGGGAGAAGGCACGCUGAUAUGUAGGUGAAGCGACUUGCUCGUGGAGCUGAAAUCAGUCGAAGAUACCAGCUGGCUGCAACUGUUUAUUAAAAACACAGCACUGUGCAAACACGAAAGUGGACGUAUACGGUGUGACGCCUGCCCGGUGCCGGAAGGUUAAUUGAUGGGGUUAGCGCAAGCGAAGCUCUUGAUCGAAGCCCCGGUAAACGGCGGCCGUAACUAUAACGGUCCUAAGGUAGCGAAAUUCCUUGUCGGGUAAGUUCCGACCUGCACGAAUGGCGUAAUGAUGGCCAGGCUGUCUCCACCCGAGACUCAGUGAAAUUGAACUCGCUGUGAAGAUGCAGUGUACCCGCGGCAAGACGGAAAGACCCCGUGAACCUUUACUAUAGCUUGACACUGAACAUUGAGCCUUGAUGUGUAGGAUAGGUGGGAGGCUUUGAAGUGUGGACGCCAGUCUGCAUGGAGCCGACCUUGAAAUACCACCCUUUAAUGUUUGAUGUUCUAACGUGGACCCGUAAUCCGGGUUGCGGACAGUGUCUGGUGGGUAGUUUGACUGGGGCGGUCUCCUCCUAAAGAGUAACGGAGGAGCACGAAGGUUGGCUAAUCCUGGUCGGACAUCAGGAGGUUAGUGCAAUGGCAUAAGCCAGCUUGACUGCGAGCGUGACGGCGCGAGCAGGUGCGAAAGCAGGUCAUAGUGAUCCGGUGGUUCUGAAUGGAAGGGCCAUCGCUCAACGGAUAAAAGGUACUCCGGGGAUAACAGGCUGAUACCGCCCAAGAGUUCAUAUCGACGGCGGUGUUUGGCACCUCGAUGUCGGCUCAUCACAUCCUGGGGCUGAAGUAGGUCCCAAGGGUAUGGCUGUUCGCCAUUUAAAGUGGUACGCGAGCUGGGUUUAGAACGUCGUGAGACAGUUCGGUCCCUA